CGGAGACCAGAAUUACGAGGGGGGCUCCGAAAUUGAACUCUGGUCUCACCGUGUCUCACUGUGUCGUGAUAUCUACAUCUGGUGACCUCGACGUGAUUCAGAACAAACACCCUCGUACCCACUGGCAGGAUCAGCCAACGGUGCACCUCAGCGUACAGCUCCCAUUCGUAGCUGCAGUACUGGCAGAAGUGACCAGGGAGAAACCGGUUCCGGCAUUUUCAGCAGUCGGAGUCUCUACCUGCCCCGCGGGUGCAGUUUCGGCAACUACCAAAUCCAGAGUGGAAAGGCCCAGUUCCGCUUAUAACGUGGGGUCGAGGUUACGCGGCUGUGUCUACGCCUGACGGUCCUGUGUGGGUACCUGCUAGGUGUAUCCGGCCCUGGAAAGACGAUGUCCUGGCACGAUAAUCUUAAGAAUCCCAUCCCUAAUUUUUCUCUGCAACUUCAGGAUACUGGGAUGUCUUCCAGGAAGCGUGGUCGGAAUGUUCCGCAACCUCCCGUGACUUGGGGCCAAAUAAAGAACUUAGCAACACAAGCAGAAAAAGCAAUGGAACAAGCCGGGGUGGACAAGACAACUGAGAAUACCAUUCUUGCUUUAAUUGCGUCUUUAAAUACAAAUUCUAUUUUUGUACUUUGCAUUUGUUGGAUUUUAGGAAGCGCCGGGGCUGACAGGUUGGGGCAGGAGUUGGGGAUGCGGUUUCAACACAAUAUCUGGGUUCAGUUAGCAAGAAUGACAAAUGUGAGUGACUUUUGCAUGACUGAACAUGUACAGGAAAUGGGUAUGUUGGGAACAUGUUUAAUACCCGUAUGCAAAGCACCUGGGGAUAUUGGGAACAUUACAGGACUUGGG